rnacentral:lncRNA from 1 species
GCACCAAGAGAAAAAGCAGAGGUAUUUCUAGUUCUGCAGAUGUCUGCCAAUGCUUUUCUCUGCCUUUGACCAUCAUCAUAGUAAUCCCAAUGAUAUAAUCAUCAAUAAUAAUAAUGUUAGUCAUAAAACAAGGGUGGCUUUUUAAGAAAGGUUGGGAAGUUGUUUCAAACCAUGCAGGGCUGGUGUCACAGGAAAAUGUCAAACUUUCCACUUUAACUUCCGUUUUUCAGGCACAAACACUUCACUUUGGGGGAAAUCUUGGCGCUAAAAGGGCUCAACCUGAGAACAAACUGCAAGUGUGCACCCUGCCUCUUUUCUGCUCAUCUGUCAGCGCCUACCUGGACUCGUUAAAAAUACAGAACUCUGGGUCCAGCCAGACUGAAAAUCAGCUCUCCCCCAGCCAACAGUCCGAGCCUGGAUUUCCACGAAGGCACGCGGCUCUCUUUACAGAUUGCAGAUUUACAUGCCACGUGAGGAAGCAGUGGGCAGAAAUGCAGAAGAGUGGGCACGAAGCAGAAGCCAGCAUGCAAAGACCCGGGGAAGAACUCGCUUGUCACGGGAAAGAGCAAGUGCCAAGGCCAUGAGGUGGCAUGGAGCUGGGCGUAAUACAGGAAGCAGAAGGUCUUGGGGGCUGAACUUGGGUGAAGCCCGGGCAAAGCGGUUGUGACCGAAGCUGGUGCAGACACCUGGCAGGGCCUUGCAGGCUUUGGAGUGCUUCCAGAGGUCCCUCAGAGGAGCAAAUGGAAACUGUACCAUCGCCCAGCAAGUUCUGGCAGACAGGCCUCCAGUGCUAUAAGGAAGGUUGGGAAGCAUUGUGUUGGGGGCGAUCCUCCCGGGCCCCUGAGCACCUGGCCCACCAAUGCUCGCUCCUGGUGCAGUGGCCCCCUCCACGGAAUCCUUUGGGCACCAUGUGGUGCUGAUGGGUACUGGAGCUUGGUGGCAACAAGCCCCAACUGCUAACUUGAGAAUGAAGAACAAAUAUUUGACUUUUUUCCGCCCUUUUCUCCCUCCUCUCGCUGUCAUUUUAUACAGCCCUGUUUAGACUGGAUGCUGGUUAAUGGGCGACCUUUGCCCUUUGGCUAAAAGCUGUGAUCAGGAAAUCCCACCUCCCAUUAAUACGGGUUUUGUUCAGGAUCCCAGGAACGCCUAGCUCACAGCUUCUGCUCUGCAAACGCAUUGUCCGCCAGGCUUAGAAAAAGAAAA